ACAUUUGGUGUAUGUGCUUGGCUGAGGAGCCAAUGGUGCGACGCUACCAUCUGUGGGAUUAUGACUGAACGCCUCUAAGUCAGAAUCCCCCUAAACGUAACGAUACCCUAGCGCGUGGCUCCAUGGUUGGCCUGGGAUAGCCGGCCCCCGGUGGGGGGUCGGUGCGGAGUGCCAUUCGUGACUGGCUCGGAGGGCGGACAGAAGGGCUUCCGCCUCUCUCGCCUCUGACGCACCGCAUGAUCGUGUCGAACCCGGUGCUAAAUGACAUGCAGACGACCUGAUUCUGGGUCAGGGUUUCGUAUGUGGCAGAGCAGCUACCAUUGUUGCGAUCUAUUGAGAGUCAUCCCUCGAUCCAACCUUUUGUC
rnacentral:rRNA from 1 species